CAGCGUCUUCAGGGCAGGGUGCGAUUCCCUACCGGUGGUACAGCCCACGAGCCGGCUGCUGAUUUGUCAGCAGGCAUGAUUCGGUGAAACUCCGAAGCCGACAGUAUAGUCUGGACGAAAGAAGAUCAGG
rnacentral:ncRNA from 2 species